rnacentral:rRNA from 1 species
AUGAGAUCUCUAGCCAUCGCAAGUAGCCAAGUGCGGCGAGGCUGUCCAAGCUGUAACUUGUGCCCUCUUUGCAAGCAAGUGCACGAAUCUGCUGCUCACCUCCUAUUUCAAUGUAGGUUCACUAUCCGGAUUUGGACCGAAAUUUGCACUUGGCUUGGCAUCCUUGACUCCUCGCCAAUGAAUUGGCGUCAUGAAGACUCAGUUAGAGAUUGGUGGCUCAAGGCGGUUAAUGGUGGAGGUGGCUGCAGGAAGGCCAUCCCCUCCUUGAUGAUGCUUGUCUCGUGAGAAAUUUGGAAGGAGCGCAACGCAAGAAUUUUUCAAAAUGUCUGUGCCCCGAUCUCCAUUGUUAUCGCAAAAAUCAAAGAGCCAUCUCUGGUCUUUGACGGGAGCCAAACAGCUUAG